rnacentral:rRNA from 1 species
UUGGGAAUUUUGGACAAUGGGCGCAAGCCUGAUCCAGCCACGCCGCGUGAAUGAUGAAGGCCUUCGGGUCGUAAAGUUCUUUUAGUUGGGAAAAACACAAUGAUGGUACCAACAGAAAAAGCACCGGCUAACUCCGUGCCAGCAGCCGCGGUAAUACGGAGGGUGCAAGCGUUGCUCGGAAUUAUUGGGCGUAAAGCGUAUGUAGGUGGUUUUCUAAGUCUGAUGUGAAAUCCCGGGGCUCAACCCCGGAACUGCAUUGGAUACUGGAGAGCUAGAGGAUGAUAGAGGAUGGUGGAAUUCCAGGUGUAGGGGUGAAAUCCGUAGAUAUCUGGAGGAACAUCAGUGGCGAAGGCGGCCAUCUGGAUCAUACCUGACACUGAGAUACGAAAGCGUGGGGAGCAAACAG